AGUGAACGCUGGCGGUAGGCCUAACACAUGCAAGUCGAACGGCAGCACAGUAAGAGCUUGCUCUUACGGGUGGCGAGUGGCGGACGGGUGAGGAAUACAUCGGAAUCUACUUUUUCGUGGGGGAUAACGUAGGGAAACUUACGCUAAUACCGCAUACGACCUACGGGUGAAGGCAGGGGAUCUUCGGACCUUGCGCGAUUGAAUGAGCCGAUGUCGGAUUAGCUAGUUGGCGGGGUAAAGGCCCACCAAGGCGACGAUCCGUAGCUGGUCUGAGAGGAUGAUCAGCCACACUGGAACUGAGACACGGUCCAGACUCCUACGGGAGGCAGCAGUGGGGAAUAUUGGACAAUGGGCGCAAGCCUGAUCCAGCCAUACCGCGUGGGUGAAGAAGGCCUUCGGGUUGUAAGGCCCUUUUGUUGGGAAAGAAAAGCAGCAGGUUAAUACCCCGCUGUUCUGACGGUACCCAAAGAAUAAGCACCGGCUAACUUCGUG
rnacentral:rRNA from 1 species